rnacentral:rRNA from 1 species
AGCGAACGCUGGCGGCAGGCUUAACACAUGCAAGUCGAACGGGCGUAGCAAUACGUCAGUGGCAGACGGGUGAGUAACGCGUGGGAACGUACCUUUUGGUUCGGAACAACCCAGGGAAACUUGGGCUAAUACCGGAUAAGCCCUUACGGGGAAAGAUUUAUCGCCGAAAGAUCGGCCCGCGUCUGAUUAGCUAGUUGGUGUGGUAACGGCGCACCAAGGCGACGAUCAGUAGCUGGUCUGAGAGGAUGAUCAGCCACAUUGGGACUGAGACACGGCCCAAACUCCUACGGGAGGCAGCAGUGGGGAAUCUUGCGCAAUGGCCGAAAGGCUGACGCAGCGACGCCGCGUGGGGGAGGAAGGG